UUGGACGCUGGCGGCAUGCCUUACACAUGCAAGUCGAACGGUAGAGGGGCAACCCUUGAGAGUGGCGAACGGGUGAGUAAUAUAUCGGAACGUGCCCAGUCGUGGGGGAUAACGCAGCGAAAGCUGCGCUAAUACCGCAUACGAUCUAUGGAUGAAAGCGGGGGAUCGCAAGACCUCGCGCGAUUGGAGCGGCCGAUAUCAGAUUAGGUAGUUGGUGGGGUAAAAGCCCACCAAGCCGACGAUCUGUAGCUG
rnacentral:rRNA from 1 species